rnacentral:rRNA from 1 species
GAUGAACGCUGGCGGCGUGCCUAAUACAUGCAAGUCGAGCGAAUGGAUUAAGAGCUUGCUCUUAUGAAGUUAGCGGCGGACGGGUGAGUAACACGUGGGUAACCUGCCCAUAAGACUGGGAUAACUCCGGGAAACCGUGGCUAAUACCGGAUAACAUUUUGAACCGCAUGGUUCGACAUUGAAAGGCGGCUUCGGCUGUCACUUAUGGAUGGACCCGCGUCGCAUUAGCUAGUUGGUGAGGUAACGGCUCACCAAGGCAACGAUGCGUAGCCGACAUGAGAGGGUGAUCGGCCAAACUGGGACUGAGACACGGCCCAGACUCCUACGGGAGGCAGCAGUAGGGAAUCUUCCGCAAUGGACGAAAGUCUGACGGAGCAACGCCGCGUGAGUGAUGAAGGCUUUCGGGUCGUAAAACUCUGUUGUUAGGGAAGAACAAGUGCUAGUUGAAUAAGCUGGCACCUUGACGGUACCUAACCAGAAAGCCACGGCUAACUACGUGCCAGCCGCCGCAGUAA